rnacentral:rRNA from 1 species
AUUGAACGCUGGCGGGAUGCUUUACACAUGCAAGUCGAACGGCAGCACGGACUUCGGUCUGGUGGCGAGUGGCGAACGGGUGAGUAAUGUAUCGGAACGUGCCCAGUCGUGGGGGAUAACGUAGUGAAAAUUACGCUAAUACCGCAUACGAUCUAUGAAUGAAAGCGGGGGAUCGCAAGACCUCGCGCGAUUGGAGCGGCCGAUAUCAGAUUAGGUAGUUGGUGGGGUAAAGGCCCACCAAGCCAACGAUCUGUAGCUGGUCUGAGAGGGCGACCAGCCACACUGGAACUGAGACACGGUCCAGACUCCUACGGGAGGCAGCAGUGGGGAAUUUUGGACAAUGGGCGAAAGCCUGAUCCAGCCAUUCCGCGUGCAGGAUGAAGGCCCUCGGGUUGUAAACUGCUUUUGUACAGAACGAAAAGGUUUCUACUAAUACUAGGAGCUCAUGACGGUACUGUAAGAAUAAGCACCGGCUAACUACGUGCCAGCCGCCGCAGUAA